rnacentral:rRNA from 1 species
GACGAACGCUGGCGGCGUGCCUAACACAUGCAAGUCGAACGGGGACAAACGCUGAAUUGAAGGUAGCUUGCUACUGAAUUUUCUUGUUUGUCUUAGUGGCGGACGGGUGAGUAACGCGUGAGUAACCUGCCUUACAGAGGGGGGACAACAGUUGGAAACGACUGCUAAUACCGCAUAACAUAGCGAAGAGGCAUCUCUUUGUUAUCAAAGGAGCAAUCCGCUGUAAGAUGGACUCGCGUCCAAUUAGAUAGUUGGUGGGGUAACGGCCCACCAAGUCGACGAUUGGUAGCCGGACUGAGAGGUUGAACGGCCACAUUGGGACUGAGACACGGCCCAGACUCCUACGGGAGGCAGCAGUGGGGGAUAUUGCACAAUGGGGGAAACCCUGAUGCAGCAACGCCGCGUGAAGGAAGAAGGUCUUCGGAUUGUAAACUUCUGUUUUUAGUGAAGAACAAAUGACGGUAGCUAAAGAGAAGCCACGGCUAACUACGUAG